UUGGCUUGAAAAAUGUAUGAUGUUUGCAACAUGCGUCACCGGAGUAUGAACUUGAAGCUCUCCCUCUCUCCGUCGUUAAAUGUUUCGUAAGCAGCAUUGUUAAAGUUCUCUAUGUCAGGGGGGAAUCUGAAGAUGGUUUUGAAUGAAGAAGAAUGGAAAAUAUAAUUUAGAAAAUGAGAAAGAAAAUUAUAAUUGAAACUAAAAAAAUGAGAAAUAUAAAAAGAGAUUUACUAUUUUCUAGGAGGUCUUGGAGUUGGCCGUGACUGUAUGAGAGGACAAGCUAAGUUCCAAUGGAAAGUGGAAAUUUUCAGAGCGAGAGGGUAGCGGUUUUUUCGCUUGCCCUCUUGGACUUUGGGCUUUUGGAUUGGAUUGGGCCAAGUACUUACUUAGGCCCCAUCCCAACUUAUGACCUUUUGUCGGUCUGUAUUGACUCAUGAGUCAGACUUGUAAGGCUGUCUUUAAUAAGUUGCCGCGUUUU
rnacentral:lncRNA from 1 species